GUUGUAUGGUUAAGUGACUAAGCGUAUGUGGUGGAUGCCUUGGCAGUUAGAGGCGAUGAAGGACGUGUUAAUCUGCGAAAAGCCCAGUUAAGCCGAUAAAAGGCGUUAUAGGCUGGGAUGUCCGAAUGGGGAAACCCACUCAACGUAAGUUGGGUAUCGUUAAGUGAAUACAUAGCUUAACGAGGCGAACCGGGAGAACUGAAACAUCUAAGUACCCCGAGGAAAAGAAAUCAACCGAGAUUUCCUUAGUAGCGGCGAGCGAACGGGAAUUAGCCCUUAAGCGGUUUGUAAGUUAGUGGAAUGCUCUGGAAAGGGCAGCGAUACAGGGUGAUAGCCCCGUACAUGAAAACGAACUUACCGUGAAAUCGAGUAGGACGGAACACGUGAAAUUCUGUCUGAAUAUGGGGGGACCAUCCUCCAAGGCUAAAUACUCCUAACUGACCGAUAGUGAACCAGUACCGUGAGGGAAAGGCGAAAAGAACCCCUGUGAGGGGAGUGAAAUAGAACCUGAAACCGCAUACGUACAAGCAGUGGAAGCCCUUCGGGGUGACUGCGUACCUUUUGUAUAAUGGGUCAGCGACUUAUGUUCUGUAGCAAGGUUAACCGAUUAGGGGAGCCGUAGCGAAAGCGAGUGUUAACUGCGCGUUUAGUUGCAGGGCAUAGACCCGAAACCCGGCGAUCUACCCAUGGGCAGGUUGAAGGUUGAGUAACAUCAACUGGAGGACCGAACACACGUAUGUUGAAAAAUGCGGUGAUGACCUGUGGGUCGGAGUGAAAGGCUAAUCAAGCCGGGAGAUAGCUGGUUCUCCCCGAAAUCUAUUUAGGUAGAGCCUCGGACGAACACCAUUGGGGGUAGAGCACUGUUAAGGCUAGGGGGUCAUCCCGACUUACCAACCCUUUGCAAACUCCGAAUACCAAUGAGUGCUAUCCGGGAGACACACUUAGGGUGCUAACGUCCUAAGUGGAAAGGGAAACAACCCAGACCGCCAGCUAAGGUCCCAAAGUCUAUGUUAAGUGGGAAACGAUGUGGAAAGGCCCAGACAGCUAGGAGGUUGGCUUAGAAGCAGCCACCCUUUAAAGAAAGCGUAAUAGCUCACUAGUCGAGUCGGUCUGCGCGGAAGAUGUAACGGGGCUAAACAUAGCACCGAAGCUGCGGAUUUGAACGUAAGUUCAAGUGGUAGGGGAGCGUUCUGUAAGCCGUUGAAGGUGUGUUGUAAAGCAUGCUGGAGGUAUCAGAAGUGCGAAUGCUGACAUGAGUAACGAUAAGGGGAGUGAAAAACUCCCCCGCCGAAAGACCAAGGUUUCCUGUCCCAUGUUAAUCAGGGCAGGGUAAGUCGGCCCCUAAGGCGAGACCGAAAGGUGUAGUCGAUGGGAAACAGAUUAAUAUUUCUGUACUUCUAUAUAUUGCGAAGGAGGGACGGAGCAGGCUAAGCAAGCAUGGCGUUGGUAGUCCAUGUGAAAGUAUGUAGGCUGGAAAUUUAGGU
rnacentral:rRNA from 1 species